AUUGAACGCUGGCGGCAGGCCUAACACAUGCAAGUCGAGCGGAGCGGCGGACGGGUGAGUCAUGCCUAGGAAUCUGCCUGGUAGUGGGGGAUAACGUCCGGAAACGGGCGCUAAUACCGCAUACUAUCAGAUGAGCCUAGGUCGGAUUAGCUAGUUGGGGGGGUAAAGGCCUCCCAAGGCGACGAUCCGUAACUGGUCUGAGAGGAUGUCCAGUCACACGUGAACUGAGACACGGUCCAGCCUCCUGAGGUGGGCAGCAGUGGGGAAGAUUGGACAAUGGGCGAAAGCCUGAUCCAGCCAUGCCGCGGUUGUGAAGAAGGUCUUCGGAUUGUAAAGCACUUUAAGUUGGGAGGCGUUACCAACAGAAUAAGCACCGGCUAACUUCGUGCCAGCAGCCGCGGUAAUUC
rnacentral:rRNA from 1 species